CAGGGAUGGGUUACUCACUGCUAAGCCUCUGUGUUUGCUGGGGAGCCAGCCAAUACUUCUGGAAUGGACAGCUCCUCAUAGCACAGCUUCAGACACAAGAUGAUCAUGGUGUGCUGAAGAAGGCGGGGUGUUUGGGGCCUAUGCCUGAAAUUCCAACAUCUUCGAGGAACAGAAAGUUUUCAUUGAACUAGACGGUGAUUAAUACAAUGUGGGUACAAGCUAAGACUGGAACGCCCUGGCUGCUUGCUGCGCCUCAUCCGAGGCGGUUCUUGGUUCCUAAGAAGUUUCCAGAGUUGUCUCUGCUGCUUUAUUUGAAAGCUACAAUGUAUACUAAUCCUUGCCAUGCAAGAUCAGCGACGCAUCACAAGUGAGGAUCAGUCACACGCUCUCUCUUCUCUAGCGGGUGAGAAGUGACAUGUUUCUUUGGAAGCGUCCCUUCUCAUGAACUUCACUAAGGAUGAGCUGCUGUGUUAAAAGGGGAUCGUGGAUUCCUUUCUACUGAAAUCAAUAAGAAUUUAAAAAUAAAAAGCAGUGCUGGAGAGAU
rnacentral:lncRNA from 1 species